GACGAACGCUGGCGGCGUGCUUAACACAUGCAAGUCGAACGGAGUUACGUAUGAAGUAUUUCGGUACGGACUACAUAACUUAGUGGCGAACGGGUGAGUAACACGUGGGCAACCUGCCCUUAACCGGGGGAUAACAUUGUGAAAACAGUGCUAAUACCGCAUAACAGAGUAUCGGGCAUCCGAUAUUUUAAAAGGAGCAAUCCGGUUUAGGAUGGGCCCGCGUCCAAUUAGCUAGUUGGUGAGGUAACGGCUCACCAAGGCUACGAUUGGUAGCCGAACUGAGAGGUUGAUCGGCCACAUUGGGACUGAGACACGGCCCAGACUCCUACGGGAGGCAGCAGUGGGGAAUAUUGGGCAAUGGGCGAAAGCCUGACCCAGCGACGCCGCGUGAAGGAUGAAGGUCUUCGGAUUGUAAACUUCUUUGAUCAGGGAAGAAAGAAUGACGGUACCUGAAGAACAAGCCACGGCUAACUACGUG
rnacentral:rRNA from 1 species